rnacentral:rRNA from 1 species
CCAAUAGCGUAUAUUAAAGUUGUUGCAGUUAAAAAGCUCGUAGUUGAAUUUCGGAAUCGACAGGUCGGUCGCGCCUUCGGUGUGUACUGGUCUAGUCGGUUUCUCCCUUCUGAGGAACCACGAUGUCAUUAAUUUGGUGUCGGGGGAAAUCAGGACUGUUACUUUGAAAAAAUUAGAGUGUUUAAAGCAGGCAUUAGCUUGAAUACAUUAGCAUGGAAUAAUGAAAGAGGACGUUUGAUCCUAUUUUGUUGGUUUCUAGGAUCGACGUAAUGAUUAAUAGGGCUAGUUGGGGGCAUUAGUAUUCAAUUGUCAGAGGUGAAAUUCUUGGAUUUAUUGAAGACUAACUACUGCGAAAGCAUUUGCCAAGGAUGUUUUCAUUAAUCAAGAACGAAAGUUAGGGGAUCGAAGACGAUCAGAUACCGUCGUAGUCUUAACCAUAAACUAUGCCGACUAGGGAUCGGAUGAUGUUAAUUUUUUAAUGACUCAUUCGGCGCCUUACG